AUUGAACGCUGGCGGCAGGCCUAACACAUGCAAGUCGAACGAGUGGCGGACGGGAGAGUAAUGUCUGGGAAACUGCCUGAUGGAGGGGGAUAACUACUAGAAACGGUAGCUAAUACCGCAUACCAUCAGAUGUGCCCCGAUGGGAUUAGCGAGUUGGUGGUGUCACGGCUCACCAAGGCGACGCGCCCGAGCUGGUCUGAGAGGAUGACCAGCCCAACUGGAACGGAGACCCGGUCCAGACUCCUACGGGAGGCAGCAGUGGGGAAUAUUGCACAAUGGGCGCAAGCCUGAUGCAGCCAUGCCGCGUGUAUGAAGAAGGCCUUCGGGUUGUAAAGUACUUGCAGCGGGGAGGCGUUACCCGCAGAAGAAGCACCGGCUAACUCCGUGCCAGCAGCCGCGGUAAUUC
rnacentral:rRNA from 1 species